rnacentral:rRNA from 1 species
UACGAAGGGGGCUAGCGUUGCUCGGAAUCACUGGGCGUAAAGGGUGCGUAGGCGGGUCUUUAAGUCAGGGGUGAAAUCCUGGAGCUCAACUCCAGAACUGCCUUUGAUACUGAGGAUCUUGAGUUCGGGAGAGGUGAGUGGAACUGCGAGUGUAGAGGUGAAAUUCGUAGAUAUUCGCAAGAACACCAGUGGCGAAGGCGGCUCACUGGCCCGAUACUGACGCUGAGGCACGACAGCGUGGGGAGCAAACAGG